GAACGCUGGCGGCGUGCUUAACACAUGCAAGUCGAACGGGAUCCCUGGCAGCUUGGUGUCGGGGUGAGAGUGGCGAACGGGUGAGUAAUGCGUGACCAACCUGCCCUGUGCACCGGAAUAGCUCCUGGAAACGGGUGGUAAUACCGGAUGCUCCGCUCCAUCGCAUGGUGGGGUGGGAAAUGCUUUUGCGGCAUGGGAUGGGGUCGCGUCCUAUCAGCUUGUUGGCGGGGUGAUGGCCCACCAAGGCGUUGACGGGUAGCCGGCCUGAGAGGGUGACCGGCCACAUUGGGACUGAGAUACGGCCCAGACUCCUACGGGAGGCAGCAGUGGGGAAUAUUGCACAAUGGGCGCAAGCCUGAUGCAGCGACGCCGCGUGCGGGAUGGAGGCCUUCGGGUUGUAAACCGCUUUUGUUCAAGGGCAAGGCACGGUUUCGGCCGUGUUGAGUGGAUUGUUCGAAUAAGCACCGGCUAACUACGUGCCAGCAGCCGCGGUAAUACGUAGGGUGCGAGCGUUAUCCGGAUUUAUUGGGCGUAAAGGGCUCGUAGGCGGUUCGUCGCGUCCGGUGUGAAAGUCCAUCGCCUAACGGUGGAUCUGCGCCGGGUACGGGCGGGCUGGAGUGCGGUAGGGGAGACUGGAAUUCCCGGUGUAA
rnacentral:rRNA from 1 species